rnacentral:rRNA from 1 species
GCCUAACACAUGCAAGUCGAGGGGUAUAGUUCUUCGGAGCUAGAGACCGGCGCACGGGUGCGUAACGCGUAUGCAAUCUACCUUAUACAGGGGAAUAGCCCAGAGAAAUUUGGAUUAAUGCCCCAUAGUGUUAUAGAAUCGCAUGGUUUUAUAACUAAAGUUCCAACGGUAUAAGAUGAGCAUGCGUCCCAUUAGUUAGUUGGUAAGGUAACGGCUUACCAAGGCGAUGAUGGGUAGGGGUCCUGAGAGGGAGAUCCCCCACACUGGUACUGAGACACGGACCAGACUCCUACGGGAGGCAGCAGUGAGGAAUAUUGGUCAAUGGGCGCAAGCCUGAACCAGCCAUGCCGCGUGCAGGAAGAAUCAUCUAUGGUGUGUAAACUGCUUUUAUACAGGAAGAAACCUCCCUACGAGUAGGGACUUGACGGUACUGUAGGAAUAAGGAUCGGCUAACUCCGUGCCAGCAGCCGCGGUAAUAC